AGUGAACGCUGGCGGUAGGCCUAACACAUGCAAGUCGAACGGCAGCACAGUAAGAGCUUGCUCUUACGGGUGGCGAGUGGCGGACGGGUGAGGAAUACAUCGGAAUCUACUUUUUCGUGGGGGAUAACGUAGGGAAACUUACGCUAAUACCGCAUACGACCUACGGGUGAAAGCAGGGGAUCUUCGGACCUUGCGCGAUUGAAUGAGCCGAUGUCGGAUUAGCUAGUUGGCGGGGUAAAGGCCCACCAAGGCGACGAUCCGUAGCUGGUCUGAGAGGAUGAUGAGCCACAGGUGCAAGGAGAAACGGCGGAGACUGCUACGCGAGACAGCAGUGGGGGAUAGUGGAAAGGGGGGGCAAGUGUGAGCAAGUCAGGGAGGGUAAGUGAGGAAGGGCGUAGGGUGGGAAUGCUCUGUAACAGAGGAAGAUAAUGACGGGAGCCGGAGAAGAAGCCCCGGCUAACGUAGUG
rnacentral:rRNA from 1 species